rnacentral:rRNA from 1 species
UUAGAGAGUUUGAUCCUGGCUCAGGAUUAAUGCUAGCGGCGUGCCUAACACAUGCAAGUCGAACGGUUCCGAUUGCCAUUUGAGAACAGUUGUUUUUUUACAGCUGUUUUAAUUUAGUAAUCGGGAUAGUGGCGAACGGGUGAGUAAUGCGUGGAUAACCUGCCUUCAAGAGGAAGAUAGCUUCGUGAAAACGGGGGUAAUAUUCCAUAAGACCCUCCCCUGCUGUCUUGCGACAGCAAGACGGGGGGGUAAAAGUCUCCCGAUUUAACAUCGUGGGACACUUGAAGAGGGGUUCACGUUCUAUUAGCUAGUUGGUACGGUAAUGGCGUACCAAGGCGAAGAUGGAUAGCCGGCUUGAGAGAGUGUACGGCCACACUGGGAUUGAGAUACGGCCCAGACUCCUACGGGAGGCAGCAGUGAGGAAUUUUCCGCAAUGCCCGAAAGGGUGACGGAGCGACGCCGCGU